rnacentral:rRNA from 1 species
AUUGAACGCUGGCGGCAUGCCUUACACAUGCAAGUCGAACGGUAACGCGGGGCAACCUGGCGACGAGUGGCGAACGGGUGAGUAAUGCAUCGGAACGUGCCCAGUAGUGGGGGAUAGCCCGGCGAAAGCCGGAUUAAUACCGCAUACGACCUACGGGUGAAAGCGGGGGACCGUAAGGCCUCGCGCUAUUGGAGCGGCCGACGUCAGAUUAGCUAGUUGGGGGGGUAAAGGCCUACCAAGGCGACGAUCUGUAGCUGGUCUGAGAGGACGACCAGCCACACUGGGACUGAGACACGGCCCAGACUCCUACGGGAGGCAGCAGUGGGGAAUUUUGGACAAUGGGGGCAACCCUGAUCCAGCCAUGCCGCGUGCGGGAAGAAGGCCUUCGGGUUGUAAACCGCUUUUGUCGGGGAAGAAACGGUCUGCGCUAAUACCGCGGACUAAUGACGGUACCCGAAGAAUAAGCACCGGCUAACUACGUGCCAGCAGCCGCGGUAAAAC